rnacentral:rRNA from 1 species
GAGUUUGAUCCUGGCUCAGAUUGAACGCUGGCGGUAUGCUUAACACAUGCAAGUCGAACGGAAACGGAACUAGCUUGCUAGUAGACGUCGAGUGGCGGACGGGUGAGUAACGCGUAGGAAUCUGCCUGAUAGUGGGGGAUAGCCCGAAGAAAUUCGGAUUAAUACCGCAUAAUCUAUUCGUAGUAAAGUGAGGGACUUUCGAGCCUCACGCUAUCAGAUGAGCCUGCGUAAGAUUAGCUUGUUGGUAGGGUAAAAGCCUACCAAGGCAACGAUCUUUAGCUGGUCUGAGAGGAUGAUCAGCCACAUCGGGACUGAGACACGGCCCGAACUCCUACGGGAGGCAGCAGUGGGGAAUAUUGGACAAUGGGGGCAACCCUGAUCCAGCAAUACCGCGUGUGUGAAGAAGGCCUGAGGGUUGUAAAGCACUUUCAAUUGUGAAGAAAAGUUAACGGUUAAUAACCGUUGACCUUGACGUUAACUUUAGAAGAAGCACCGGCUAACUCCGUGCCAGCAGCCGCGGUAAUACGGAGGGUGCAAGCGUUAAUCGGAAUUACUGGGCGUAAAGCGUGCGUAGGCGGUUUAUUAAGUCAGAUGUGAAAGCCCCGGGCUUAACCUGGGAACUGCAUUUGAAACUGGUCAACUAGAGUAUGGUAGAGGAAAGUGGAAUUUCUGGUGUAGCGGUGAAAUGCGUAGAUAUCAGAAGGGAACAUCAAUGGCGAAGGCAGCUUUCUGGACCAAUACUGACGCUGAGGUACGAAAGCGUGGGUAGCAAACAGGAUUAGAUACCCUGGUAGUCCACAACGAAUGAUAACUAGCCGUUGGGGGGAUUUACCCUUUAGUGGCGAAGCUAACGCGUUAAGUUAUCCGCCUGGGGAGUACGGCCGCAAGGCUAAAACUCAAAGGAAUUGACGGGGACCCGCACAAGCGGUGGAGCAUGUGGUUUAAUUCGAUGCAACGCGAAGAACCUUACCUGGUCUUGACAUCCUGCGAACUUUCUAGAAAUAGAUUGGUGCCUUCGGGAACGCAGUGACAGGUGCUGCAUGGCUGUCGUCAGCUCGUGUCGUGAGAUGUUGGGUUAAGUCCCGUAACGAGCGCAACCCCUAUCCUUAUUUGCCAGCACAUUAUGGUGGGAACUAUAAGGAGACUGCCGGUGAUAAACCGGAGGAAGGCGGGGACGACGUCAAGUCAUCAUGGCCCUUAUGGGCAGGGCUACACACGUGCUACAAUGGCCGGUACAAAGGGCAGCGAAGCCGCGAGGUGGAGCGAAUCUCACAAAACCGGUCGUAGUCCGGAUUGCAGUCUGCAACUCGACUGCAUGAAGCUGGAAUCGCUAGUAAUCGUGGAUCAGAAUGCCGCGGUGAAUACGUUCCCGGGCCUUGUACACACCGCCCGUCACACCAUGGGAGUGGGCUGUACCAGAAGUAGGUAGUCUAACCUUCGGGAGGACGCUUACCACGGUGUGGUUCAUGACUGGGGUGAAGUCGUAACAAGGUAGCCCUAGGGGAACCUGGGGCUGGAUCACCUCCUU